AUUGAACGCUGCCGGCAGGCCAAAAACAUGCAAGUCGAACGAGGGGCGGACGGGGGAGUAUUGUCUGGGAAACUGCCCGAUGGAGGGGGAUAACUCCUGAAAACGGACGCAAAUACCGCAUACAACGGGUUGUGCCCAGAUGGGUUUGUCGAGUAGGUGGGGUAACGGCUCACCUAGGCGACGAUCCCUAGCUGGUCUGAGAGGAUGACCAGCCACACUGGAACUGAGACACGGUCCAGACUCCUACGGGAGGCAGCAGUGGGGAAUAUUGCACAAUGGGCGCAAGCCUGAUGCAGCCAUGCCGCGUGUAUGAAGAAGGCCUUCGGGUUGUAAAGUACUUUCAGCGAGGAGGCGUUACUCGCAGAAGAAGCACCGGCUAACUCCGUGCCAGCAGCCGCGGUAAUUC
rnacentral:rRNA from 1 species